AACGAACGCUGGCGGCGUGCCUAACACAUGCAAGUCGAACGUGAUUGAGAGCUUGCUCUCAUGAAAGUGGCGCACGGGUGAGUAACGCGUAGAUAAUCUACCUGGUGAUCCGGGAUAACACCUCGAAAGGGGUGCUAAUACCUGAUAAGCCCACGGGGUCUUCGGACUCUGCGGGAAAAGGGGGGGACCUUUAGGCCUUCCGUCAUCAGAUGAGUCUGCGUACCAUUAGCUAGUUGGUAGGGUAAAGGCCUACCAAGGCGACGAUGGUUAGCUGGUCUGAGAGGAUGAUCAGCCACACUGGAACUGAGACACGGUCCAGACUCCUACGGGAGGCAGCAGUGGGGAAUUUUGCGCAAUGGGGGAAACCCUGACGCAGCAACGCCGCGUGAGUGAUGAAGGCCCUUGGGUCGUAAAGCUCUGACAGAGGGAAAGAAGUGCAGGGGAGCUAAUAUCUCCUUUGCUUGACGGUACCCUCAAAGGAAGCACCGGCUAACUCCGUGCCAGCAGCCGCUGUAAAAC
rnacentral:rRNA from 1 species